ensembl:lncRNA
GUAGAACUGUAUAUUUUUAAGGUACGCCUUCAUAGAGUUUGAAUUAAAAAGGGGAAUCACUCAGAAAGAAGUAAUAAAACACCAGCAAGGGGCCAGACAACUGCUUCUCCCAUUGGCUUCUUUACAGUGCUACACAGUCAAAGGGUGAAAUUUAGCAGAUAAAGAAGUAAAGCUGUUUGGUUCGGAGGAACUGAAGCAGGACAGACCAAAGCCUGGGAGAAGCUGAACAGGUAGAUGGUGCAUUUUGCAAACACGAGUCAGAACUUAAAUUUAAAAACACAACAAUGGAAAGCAAAGGAAGCAUAAACAUUUAUCUUUAAGGAUUUUCCUUUCUUUUUCUCACCACAGUUAUUUUCAUAUUCUCAUUUGGGUUGCUUCCUAUGAAGCUUUUAUGCAGGACCUUAACAUGAACUUGUCUAAUUUUCCUUCAUAUUUUACUGGCAAUCUAUCUGAAAACAGGGCAUUAUUCAGCAAAACUGAAGCUCCACCGAGGUCAGCAGUGGACGCAGCCUUUGUUCAGACCCUCAGUCUUGGUCCUUUGCUUCACAUGACUAAAUAUAUGAGCAGGGAAGUGCCAGCAGAGGGGGAGGGAGCAUCUUUAAAUCAUUCUUGUCAUUGGAAUGGCCUCCUUCAUGGCACAGUAACAGAUAAUAUUUUUAAAAUCACUAACCACUGCCUCUAUAGAGAACCUUCCAUUUGUCAGCUCAUGAGGCAGAAGGUCCAACUAUUCUUUGCUGGUUAAGCUGGAGAUCAAGUAACUGAGUUUCCAAAGAUUUUCAAUGGAGCUUGUACUAAUUCAAUGACAGAAGGGUAACUAGGCAGUAAAAGUGGUCCAGGGACUGUGGAGUUAGGUCGGCAUGAGAAAGACUCACCUUCUUCUGAUAUGCAUGUCUCAUGCAGCCUUAAGAAAAUCACAGCCUUGUUGUGUCCUGUUUGGCAAAACUGGACAAAUAAUCAUUCUGUGCUUGAUAAGAAACUUUAAUGAAAGGAUAAAUGCAUCAAAGAUGUGAAGAUUUUACAUUCAGGGGUGAUGUACACAACUUGCAGUACGGUUACUGUUGCAGGAGGGCUUUUUGAACUUCACACGUUUUGAUCACCUCACACUCUCCCUUGAAAUAAACUGUCUUUCAGUCACAAUGUAAUUUUAUCAUCUUCAUAAUAUCCGUUUGAUACUCCCUCAGCAUUUAUCUGAAAUAAAAGAGAAGGAUGUAGAAGAGGAAGGUGAAAAUAUACAUAGAUGCAUUCCUAACUGACUGUCACAGCUCCUGAAUUAGAUUCUCAGCUGACAGACCUACAGGGUAACUGCAUUACAGUUAAUGUAAAUCUUCUGAUUGACACCAGCUGACGAUCCAGACCCAUCUACUAAAAUCAGGUAUCGGAUAUUUCCUAGUGCUUUUUCAAAGGACUAUGAUAUCUAUCAUGUUUUCCCUGUUUAUUCAUUACAAGUUGUAACAAUAAAAUGAGCUUUAGCUGUGUCUUAGCUUUCCUGAAUUUAAGUUUGCUUAUUGUAAUAUCAUUUUUAUGUCACAACUAGACUGCAGAUCGAAAGGCAGACUGUGUCAAGGGAAUUUGGUGUUUUACAUUUAGAAGGAACAUUUAAUGAAUUAUGCUGCCCCCAGAUAACCCCUAUUUCAUUUGUAUAUAAUGCUCAGGGCUAAGGAUUGUCUUUCUGAUCCUUCUUAGAUGUUAGGCAGUAUGUUUCAAGAGUGGUCACGUUACUGCUCCCAUCGUUACUUCAGACCCAAACCUGCGAGUGCUGAGUGCAAUAACUCCCACAGAGGACAUAAAAAUGGCUUUAAUACAACAAUAAUCUUAAAUUUAUCAAAGGCAGAAGGCUCAAAGUAAAAUUAAAUGUGUGACUUUUUUCUCUGCAUGGCUAGUGGUCAGCAUAUAUUAUGUAAACAUGACCUUUCAGUAAGUUAAGUGUUUAGUGCUUUUUAUAUUAAAAACUAAUUGCUAGAUUUCGAACUCAGAGUACCCUAAAACAUUAGGCUGCCUAUAAAUAUUCUGUCCCCUUAAUCCCUGGAGGAAUUACAGACUCAAGCCCCUUCAGCUGGGCUUGUUGCUUUGUAGUUCUGCAUCUUCAGGAGGGGAAGUAGAGACGUGAAUUCAGGUUCAGGUUGGAAAAGGCCUAGGAAUAAUGCACCAAAUGGUGCAGCGCUAGAUGAAAUGCUGUUAGUCUUAGGAAGAAACCAUUUCAUUACUUAACAGCCCCCCUCUGCAGCUACACUUUAAGCAAUGAAAAAUGAGUUAAAUUCACUAAUUUGCUUUUAUUUUAUGUACAAAAUGCCACAUAGUCAUCCAUAGCACUCCUGGAGUCACAUACAGACCAUAUUUGCAAUCCGAUUUAUAUCCCACCCAGAUGUACAGUGAAGCAUCAGACCGUGGAACAACGUGUUCAAACACUGAAAGCCUAACUAAGCCUCAGCUAGGAAAAACUGGCAUAACUUCAGUGACUACAAUAAGUAAUGUUGCAGACUGUGGUAAUUCAAUUACCUGAGGACCUGUCCCAUGUUUCCUCAGACAGCUCUAAGCACUUCUUCUCUUCUAUUUUAGUGUGUUUUGUUAUUUGCAUGAACCAGAACUAGAAGAGAAGAAGAAUCAGCGAUUUCAGAAGGCUUUGGAUCGUGCUCCAGGAAUUCUCAUUUGAAGCAGUGGCAAAACUCUUCUGGUGUAGGGUGGAAGUCUGGGCCUGUAGCAGUGCAUUUUCGUAGGAUUUCUUGUUCCAUGGGAUUCUGUGCAAUCACUAAGUAUUUCCAGUUGAUAUGGUAAUGUUAAGUAGAAAACUCCAAAUAUUAUAAUAGGAAAGGAAUGCUUUCCUGCAGCACUAGUGAUUUUCUUCCAUGUGUUUUCCACUUACAAUCUCUCUUUGGUAGACCUGCAAAAUAAGAUUCUUUGACCAGCAGCACUUGCUGUUGCUCCAGGGCAGAAAGCACAAGACUGAACCAGCAUGCACUGUGUUGACCAUACAGAGUCCAGAUGUUAUAAAAUACAGAAGCAAGGCAAGCUGUGGAAUAGAAAUAGACAAAACAUUCUGGAGAUCCUGAGUUCCUUUUCCCCUAAGGACCUUUUCAUAUUUUUGCACAUCAAACAAACAUCAAUCUGAUGUAUUGGAAUAGAGCAUUUGGCACCAGUGUCAGUGGAGGACGUAAAACAAUACUGCCAGUACCAGCAGAGGAAGAUGUCUUUGCUACAGCAAAAUGUAUGUGCUGUAUGGCAAACAGCUGCUCUUCAGUAUCACCAAUGGUACGUGAAAGAACCUGAGGGAGGCUGCAAGUCUUUAGGUUUUUCCUCAGUUAUAUUAAUAUUGAACUGACUGGCUCUAAAGGUGGGAAUUCAUGGUGUCCAUAAAAUGAUUUAUAUUGGGGAAAGGUAUUCUUCUCACACAAGGAAACUGGCUGAAAAAGAUGCCUGGCAUUCCUGAAAUUUUCCACCUUCACUAGCCUUAACCAAGAGCAGAUGAUAUUGUUAUGAAGGUUUCAGCAGUGGCACGGCUCCUGUGGCAGAGCCUCAGUGUUUGCUGUGUAGUAUGUUACCUUGAAUUCAGCCUCAUGGGUUGUUCCUGCUGUUGGGUAUAUUCACUUAUAUGCAAGACCUGGAUACUUAGAACAGAGAUGAACAUGUAUCAGCCAGAUAAAUAGCAGUCUUGUCCGUGUAUACUCCAUUACUCCAAAACUGGUUUUGUUGGUCAUCAGAAGGCAAGCUUAGUUUACAAGUAUGAAACAGUAUUCACAUUAGCGGUGUUUACUCUUCAUCUGGAGACAUUCCUAAUGAGGAUUAAAGAUCAAUCAUUUUAAGCCUGUGAGCUAUAAUGAUAAGACCUGUAAGACCUAUAAUGAUA